GUUUACCAAAAACAUGGCUUCUUGUACAAAUAAUAAAUAAGGAGUCGGACCUGCCCAGUGAAAUUUUUUAACGGCCGCGGUACUCUGACCGUGCAAAGGUAGCAUAAUCAUUUGCCUUAUAAUUAAAGGCUAGUAUGAAUGGUUUGACAAGAAUGCAGCUGUCUCUUUAUAAUUUUAUAGAAUUUUAUUUUAAAGUGAAGAAGCUUUAAUAUAAUUAAUAGACAAGAAGACCCUAUCGAGCUUUAAAGAAAUCUCUAGAAAUUAAUUAAUAAUUUUUAAAAAAUUAACUAUUGAAUAUUUUGGUUGGGGCGACUAAGGAACAAAUAAAGCUUCCUUUUAUAUAAUUUACAUUCAAGUAUUGAUCCAAAGUUUUUGAUUAAAGAAAUUAGUUACCGUAGGGAUAACAGCAUUAUCUUUUUUGAGAGUUCUUAUCGAAAAAAAGGUUUGUGACCUCGAUGUUGGACCAGAAUAUCCUAAAGAUGCAGAAGUCUUUAAGGGUUGGUCUGUUCGACCAUUAAAAUUCUACGUGAUCUGAGUUCAGACCGG
rnacentral:rRNA from 1 species